GUGUUCGUUGAAAGGAGUGACGGUUGGCAUCUCCCCUGACAGGGACGGGAACAGACUUCGGGCUUCCUGUUACAAAGAUAUAUAAUAGGUUGCUUGAUUAGAAACAACGGUGACGUAAUUUC